AAGGAUCAUUAUAGAAUAAACAUUGUCUAGGUUGCUGCUGGCUUCUAGGAGCAUGUGCACACCUGACGCCGUUUUCUUACCACCUGUGCACUUUUUGUAGACUUAUGAGAUGUAUAUUUAAAGGGACUGUUGGGCGAAAGUUCACUAUUCCUUUGCAUAUUAUUUCUAGUCUACGUCUUUAUCAUAUACCCUUUAAAAACAAGUAACAGAAUGUAUAUUAAUUGGCCCUUGUGCCUUUAAAACAAAAUACAACUUUCAACAACGGAUCUCUUGGCUCUC
rnacentral:misc_RNA from 1 species